UACGAAGGGUGCAAGCGUUACUCGGAAUUACUGGGCGUAAAGCGUGCGCAGGCGGUGAUGUAAGACAGGUGUGAAAUCCCCGGGCUUAACCUGGGAACUGCAUUUGUGACUGCAUCGCUGGAGUGCGGCAGAGGGGGAUGGAAUUCCGCGUGUAGCAGUGAAAUGCGUAGAUAUGCGGAGGAACACCGGUGGCGAAGGCGGCGACCUGGUCCUUUACUGACGCUGAGGCGCGAAAGCGUGGGGAGCAAACAGG
rnacentral:rRNA from 1 species